rnacentral:misc_RNA from 1 species
CUAGAGGAAUUAGAGAAGAGAAAUAGUGUAAUGGCUCACGUGUAAUGGGCUAAGAGUUUUGGACAGCAGAGCAAAAGAGUGCUUUAUAAUAGAUUAGUUUCUUCCUAUAAAAUGGUGUAGCAUCGCUAAGUGAGAAAAAUCGGUUUGGUUUGGUUAGUUAGAUUUUUUUACUGAAUUAACCAAACCAAAUAACCGAAAUAUUUUUAAAAAAGAAACUGAAACUGAGCAGAUUAACCAAAAAAUCGAACCAAAAAACCGAAUUAAAUUGGUUUGAUUCGAUUUUUCGGUUAAAACUGAUAAGUGCUCACCCCCAAGAUAUUUGACCUUCUAAAGUAGUUAGUUUUGAUAAGUCUUCUUGAUUGCAAGUGACCAUCAAGCACCAGACUAGAGACCAACUUUGUUUGAAAUUUCUCAAGAAUAUAAUUCCUUUCGCAUUCAUUAUUUCCAUUAUUAUUGGUAACAGGGCAUUGCAACGAGACUAUAAUAUGUGUUCAAAACUUACUAGUUGUGGAAAAGAAUACUAAUGAAACCUGACCAUUGCAUCUUGUAUUUCCUUAUUACCUCCAUACCUGUAUCAAGCACUGUCUUAUAAAGGAAAUGUUGUAAUUCAAUGUGUAUAUAUUAUUCUCCAACUGAUCAGCCAUGUUUGAAUUGUUGGAAAUUGGUUGGGAAUUAAUAUGAGAUUUUCAUGGAAUGGACACACAUGAAGUUUUUAACAAUGUUAUUUGCCCGUUUUUAACAAUGUUCUUCGCCCAUGCUUAGUGGGAAGGCUGCAGAUCUUUUUAAUAUUGGUUGCAGUAGGGUUUACUAAUAACAGAAAGAGGACAGGAUGUGACAAGCAAGAUGGGCAUUGGGAUUCUCUAAGGCAUUUGACAGUUGUAAAGAGAGCUGGGAAAAAUGUCAUUUCUCCAAGAGAAUAGUCUAUAAGAUGUUCAAAGGUUUUCCAUUGACAAUCACAAUGGUUAAUAUUAUAAUUAUUGCAAUAGGCAUCGUGCAGGUGGGCAAUGCCAUGUGUAGAUAAACUGAUAUGGAAGUUUAUAAUGAUAGUGCUAAUGGUUAUAAUUGAAAAAUGAAGUGUUUGGGUGCUUUAAAUUAUGCUAUGUGUCUAGUGGUGAUUCACCAUAGUUGUUGGAUUGCUGGUUGCUUUAAACUGGUUUUGAUAAACCUAGGAAACGAUACUGAUCCUCGCUGGUGGAUAUUGGAUGAUAACAUGUGGUAAUUGAAUAUUUUUUCCUUUGAGUGUGUUCUGGUCUAUAAUAAUUCUUUGAGAGUGUUGUUUAUAUGCUUGUAUUGUUUACUUGUAUUGCUACUGCUUUUACAGUAGAGGAGGUUCAAAUUUUUG